rnacentral:rRNA from 1 species
UUUUCCAGGCAAAUCCGGAAAACCAAGGCUGAGGCGUGAUGACGAGGCACUACGGUGCUGAAGCGACAAAUGCCCUGCUUCCAGGAAAAGCCUCUAAGCAUCAGGUAACAUCAAAUCGUACCCCAAACCGACACAGGUGGUCAGGUAGAGAAUACCAAGGCGCUUGAGAGAACUCGGGUGAAGGAACUAGGCAAAAUGGUGCCGUAACUUCGGGAGAAGGCACGCUGAUAUGUAGGUGAAGCGACUUGCUCGUGGAGCUGAAAUCAGUCGAAGAUACCAGCUGGCUGCAACUGUUUAUUAAAAACACAGCACUGUGCAAACACGAAAGUGGACGUAUACGGUGUGACGCCUGCCCGGUGCCGGAAGGUUAAUUGAUGGGGUUAGCGGCAACGCGAAGCUCUUGAUCGAAGCCCCGGUAAACGGCGGCCGUAACUAUAACGGUCCUAAGGUAGCGAAAUUCCUUGUCGGGUAAGUUCCGACCUGCACGAAUGGCGUAAUGAUGGCCAGGCUGUCUCCACCCGAGACUCAGUGAAAUUGAACUCGCUGUGAAGAUGCAGUGUACCCGCGGCAAGACGGAAAGACCCCGUGAACCUUUACUAUAGCUUGACACUGAACAUUGAGCCUUGAUGUGUAGGAUAGGUGGGAGGCUUUGAAGUGUGGACGCCAGUCUGCAUGGAGCCGACCUUGAAAUACCACCCUUUAAUGUUUGAUGUUCUAACGUUGGCCCGUAAUCCGGGUUGCGGACAGUGUCUGGUGGGUAGUUUGACUGGGGCGGUCUCCUCCUAAAGAGUAACGGAGGAGCACGAAGGUUGGCUAAUCCUGGUCGGACAUCAGGAGGUUAGUGCAAUGGCAUAAGCCAGCUUGACUGCGAGCGUGACGGCGCGAGCAGGUGCGAAAGCAGGUCAUAGUGAUCCGGUGGUUCUGAAUGGAAGGGCCAUCGCUCAACGGAUAAAAGGUACUCCGGGGAUAACAGGCUGAUACCGCCCAAGAGUUCAUAUCGACGGCGGUGUUUGGCACCUCGAUGUCGGCUCAUCACAUCCUGGGGCUGAAGUAGGUCCCAAGGGUAUGGCUGUUCGCCAUUUAAAGUGGUACGCGAGCUGGGUUUAGAACGUCGUGAGACAGUUCGGUCCCUAUCUGCCGUGGGCGCUGGAGAACUGAGGGGGGCUGCUCCUAGUACGAGAGGACCGGAGUGGACGCAUCACUGGUGUUCGGGUUGUCAUGCCAAUGGCACUGCCCGGUAGCUAAAUGCGGAAGAGAUAAGUGCUGAAAGCAUCUAAGCACGAAACUUGCCCCGAGAUGAGUUCUCCCUGACUCCUUGAGAGUCCUGAAGGAACGUUGAAGACGACGACGUUGAUAGGCCGGGUGUGUAAGCGCAGCGAUGCGUUGAGCUAACCGGUACUAAUGAACCGUGAGGCUUAACCUU